rnacentral:rRNA from 1 species
GACGAACGCUGGCGGCGUGCUUAACACAUGCAAGUCGAACGAAGAGCGAUGGAAGCUUGCUUCUAUCAAUCUUAGUGGCGAACGGGUGAGUAACGCGUAAUCAACCUGCCCUUCAGAGGGGGACAACAGUUGGAAACGACUGCUAAUACCGCAUACGAUCUAAUCUCGGCGUCGAGGAUAGAUGAAAGGUGGCCUCUACAUGUAAGCUAUCACUGAAGGAGGGGAUUGCGUCUGAUUAGCUAGUUGGAGGGGUAACGGCCCACCAAGGCGAUGAUCAGUAGCCGGUCUGAGAGGAUGAACGGCCACAUUGGGACUGAGACACGGCCCAGACUCCUACGGGAGGCAGCAGUGGGGAAUCUUCCGCAAUGGACGAAAGUCUGACGGAGCAACGCCGCGGGAGCGAUGACGGCCUUCGGGUUGUAAAGCUCUGUUAAUCGGGACGAAAGGCCUUCUUGCGAAUAGUGAGAAGGAUUGACGGUACCGGAAUAGAAAGCCACGGCUAACUACGUG